rnacentral:rRNA from 1 species
CCUACGGGAGGCAGCAGUAGGGAAUAUUGCUCAAUGGGGGAAACCCUGAAGCAGCAACGCCGCGUGGAGGAUGAAGGUUUUAGGAUUGUAAACUCCUUUUGUUAGAGAAGAUUAUGACGGUAUCUAACGAAUAAGCACCGGCUAACUCCGUGCCAGCAGCCGCGGUAAUACGGAGGGUGCAAGCGUUACUCGGAAUCACUGGGCGUAAAGAGUGCGUAGGCGGGGUAAUAAGUCAGAUGUGAAAUCCUGUGGCUUAACUACAGAACUGCAUUUGAAACUGUUACUCUGGAGUGUGGGAGAGGUAGGUAGAAUUCUAGGUGUAGGGGUAAAAUCCGUAGAGAUCAAGAGGAAUACUCAUUGCGAAGGCGACCUGCUGGAACAUUACUGACGCUGAUGCGCGAAAGCGUGGGGAGCAAACAGGAUUAGAUACCCGGGUAGUC